rnacentral:rRNA from 1 species
AGGGUUUGAUCAUGGCUCAGGACGAACGCUGGCGGCGUGCUUAAUACAUGCAAGUCAAGGAGAACGUUUUCUUCGGAAAACUAUUAAACUGGCGAACGGGUGAGUAACACGUAGGCAACCUGCCUUGGAGAUGGGGAUAACCUCGGGAAACCGGGACUAAUACCGAAUAAUGCAGCGGCUUCUUUGGAAGAUGUUGUUAAAGCGGGCUUCGGCUCGCACUUCAAGAUGGGCCUGCGUCCGAUUAGCUUGUUGGUAAGGUAACGGCUUACCAAGGCGAUGAUCGGUAGCUGGUCUGAGAGGAUGAUCAGCCACACUGGGAUUGAGAUACGGCCCAGACUCCUACGGGAGGCAGCAGUAGGGAAUUUUGCGCAAUGGACGAAAGUCUGACGCAGCAACGCCGCGUGAUCGAUGAAGCUUCUAGGAGUGUAAAGAUCUGUCGUGAGGGAAGAAAAAUCUGGAUGUAAAUAAUGUUCAGACUUGACGGUACCUUACAAGAAAGCACCGGCUAACUUCGUGCCAGCC